rfam:Daucus carota subsp. sativus cultivar DH1 chromosome 5, whole genome shotgun sequence.
ACGACCUUACUUGAACAGGAUCUGUUCUAUAGGCUCGUACCUCUGUAUCCUUGAUUUCUAAGGAGGCAGGUGACCAAGUCUGGUGGAUGAACCAUGACUGCACGACCAGAGCGUGAUUAACAGCCCUGUGACCUUGUGUUGGCCAUAUGAGCCGUAGAGGAUCGUUCUUAGCCAGAUUCUGGUUGGGGUGGUCGUGCAGUUGUCUGACAGACC